GCCAGUAGAUAAACUGGGAGGAAGGUGGGGAUGACGUCAAAUCAUCAUGCCCCUUAUGACCUGGGCUACACACGUGCUACAAUGGCCGGUACAAAGAGUUGCGAAACUGUGAAGUUAAGCUAAUCUCAUAAAGCCGGUCUCAGUUCGGAUUGUAGUCUGCAACUCGACUACAUGAAGUCGGAAUCGCUAGUAAUCGCGAAUCAGAAUGUCGCGGUGAAUACGUUCUCGAGUCCUU
rnacentral:rRNA from 1 species